UUUAAUUAGUUAUUUAUAACUAAAUAAAAAUUAAUAUUUAAAAAAAAAUAAUUUUUUAAAUUGUUUAGUUUUUGUUAGUAUAACCUAACCCUAUCAACAAAAAAUAUCUAAUAGCAAUGGUAGCUCCGGUAGUUAUGGUUAACCAAUGUGGUGGGUGCGACCAGUGUGGCUGUAAGGGUGGCAGCUGUUCAUGCGAUUGUUGCAAAUAAAAUAUCUAACCAACCAAGCAAACAAACAAAAAUUAUUAAAAUGAUAAUGACAAUUUUUUAACCAUGGUUAAUUUCACCUAUAAAUUCAAAAUUUUAUAAUUAUAUAUAUUUUUCGAAAAAUUUUUGUUUUUCUUUAAAUCAAUUAUUUUAACAAAAAAAAUGUAUUUUUGAAUAAUAUACUAAAUAAUAAAUAACUUUUUUUUUGCAAA